rnacentral:rRNA from 1 species
GAUGAACGCUGGCGGCGUGCCUAAUACAUGCAAGUCGAGCGAACAGACGAGGAGCUUGCUCCUCUGACGUUAGCGGCGGACGGGUGAGUAACACGUGGAUAACCUACCUAUAAGACUGGGAUAACUUCGGGAAACCGGAGCUAAUACCGGAUAACAUGUUGAACCGCAUGGUUCAACAGUGAAAGACGGUUUUGCUGUCACUUAAAGAUGGAUCCGCGUCGCAUUAGCUAGUUGGUAAGGUAACGGCUUACCAAGGCAACGAUGCGUAGCCGACCUGAGAGGGUGAUCGGCCACACUGGAACUGAGACACGGUCCAGACUCCUACGGGAGGCAGCAGUAGGGAAUCUUCCGCAAUGGGCGAAAGCCUGACGGAGCAACGCCGCGUGAGUGAAGAAGGUCUUCGGAUCGUAAAACUCUGUUAUUAGGGAAGAACAAAUGUGUAAGUAACUAUGCACGUCUUGACGGUACCUAAUCAGAAAGCCACGGCUAACUACGUG